rnacentral:rRNA from 1 species
CAGCCGCCGCGGGAAUACGUAGGUGGCAAGCGUUGUCCGGAAUUAUUGGGCGUAAAGCGCGCGCAGGCGGAUCGGUCAGUCUGUCUUAAAAGUUCGGGGCUUAACCCCGUGAUGGGAUGGAAACUGCCAAUCUAGAGUAUCGGAGAGGAAAGUGGAAUUCCUAGUGUAGCGGUGAAAUGCGUAGAUAUUAGGAAGAACACCAGUGGCGAAGGCGACUUUCUGGACGAAAACUGACGCUGAGGCGCGAAAGCCAGGGGAGCGAACGGGAUUAGAUACCCCUGUAGUCCCUGUCUCUUAUACA